ensembl:lncRNA
AAGAAAACAAGGUGCAUGAGGGUUGUGUGCUUACAUGUGAGAAUGCGACUACCUGGCCUGAUGACUCCUUGCUAUCCCCAGUCCACCUGGUCAUGCUGCUGCUCCCGUUUCAACUGUUCUGUAUGCGGCUGUGGAACCCUGACCUGUUCACUGGACAUGCUACCUUGUCCCGAACCUGCUGUUUUGGACCCUCUCUCUACCGCAACUGCUGUCUCUAACUCUGAAUGAUCGGCUAUGAAAAGCCAACUGACAUUUAAUCCUGAGGUGCUGACCUGUUGCACCCUCUAGAACCACUGUGAUUAUUAAUAUUUGACCCUGCUGGUCAUCUAUGAACCUUUAAAAAUCUUGGCCAUGUUCUGUUAUAAUCUCCACCUGGCACAGCCAGAAAAGGACUGGUCACCCCUCAGAGCCUGGUUCCUCUCUAGCUUUCUUCCUAAGUAUUGGCCUUUCUAGGGAGUUUUUCCUAGCAACUGUGCUUCUACAUCUGCAUUGCUUGCUGUUUGAGGUUUUAGGCUGGGUUUCUGUACAGCACCUUGUGACAUUGGCUGAUGUAAAAAGGGCUUUAUAAAUUAAUUUGAUUGAUUGAUUAUUCUGUAUGUAAAUUCGAGACACUCAAUUUCGUAUGAUAUGUUACGAAUUACAAUUCAUAUGAUAUGUUGAGGGUUAAGGUAAGGGUUAGGAGUUAGGUUAAAGGGUUAAGUAACCUUCUAUCUCAUGUAACCAUACCAAAUGUAAGAUAUCAUACUAAUUUCAGUGUCCUGAAUUUACCACUGGGCGAAAUUGUCAAUAUCAGGGUAUAUCUUUAUCUAUUUAUUUACAGAUAUAGAGUAGGAGUAGACAUGCUCCAGAUACCAAUGUCCUUAAUUUCAUAUAUGGAGCUAGGAUAUUCUCCGUUUUGAUUCCAAAACAUCCGGUGAUUUUGCAGAAAUACUCAUAAUAAACAUUGAUAAAAGAUACAACUGUUAUUCACAUAAUUAAAGAUAGACUUCGCCUUAAUGCAA